rnacentral:rRNA from 1 species
GGCAUGGGCGCAAGCCUGAUCCAGCAAUGCCGCGUGAGUGAAGAAGGCCUUCGGGUUGUAAAGCUCUUUUGUCAGGGAAGAAACGGUGAGAGCUAAUAUCUUUUGCUAAUGACGGUACCUGAAGAAUAAGCACCGGCUAACUACGUGCCAGCAGCCGCGGUAAUACGUAGGGUGCAAGCGUUAAUCGGAAUUACUGGGCGUAAAGCGUGCGCAGGCGGUUUUGUAAGUCUGAUGUGAAAUCCCCGGGCUCAACCUGGGAAUUGCAUUGGAGACUGCAAGGCUAGAAUCUGGCAGAGGGGGGUAGAAUUCCACGUGUAGCAGUGAAAUGCGUAGAUAUGUGGAGGAACACCGAUGGCGAAGGCAGCCCCCUGGGUCAAGAUUGACGCUCAUGCACGAAAGCGUGGGGAGCAAACAGGAUUAGAUACCCUGGUAGUCCACGCCCUAAACGAUGUCUACUAGUUGUCGGGUCUUAAUUGACUUGGUAACGCAGCUAACGCGUGAAGUAGACCGCCUGGGGAGUACGGUCGCAAGAUUAAAACUCAAAGGAAUUGACGGGGACCCGCACAAGCGGUGGAUGAUGUGGAUUAAUUCGAUGCAACGCGAAAAACCUUACCUACCCUUGACAUGGAUGGAAUCCCGRAGAGAUUUGGGAGUGCUCGAAAGAGAACCAUUACACAGGUGCUGCAUGGCUGUCGUCAGCUCGUU